rnacentral:tRNA from 2 species
GUUUUAAUAAUUUAAAGUAAAAAUACUGGUCUUGUAAAUCAGAAAUAAGAUAAUCUUUUAAAACU